rnacentral:tRNA from 1 species
AGUGAAGUGCCUGAAAAAGGGUAAUCUUGAUAGGAUUAAAAAUGUGAAUCAAAUUUCACCUACACUC